rnacentral:rRNA from 1 species
UUCGAUUCUGGCUCAGAUUGAACGCUGGCGGGAUGCUUUACACAUGCAAGUCGAACGGCACGGACUUCGGUCUGGUGGCGAGUGGCGAACGGGUGAUGUGUAUCGGAACGUGCCUGGUAGCGGGGGGAUAACGCGGCGUAUUCAAUAUACUUUGGCAAAAGGGGAAGCGGGGGACCUUCAGGCUGCUCACUAAUGAAACGGCCGAUAUCGGAUUAGCUAGUUGGUGUAGGUGGCGCGGCUCACCCCGAGCGACGAUCCGUAGCUGGUUUGAGAGGACGACCAGCCACACUGGGACUGAGACACGGCCCAGACUCCACUACGGGAGGCAGCAGUGGAAAUUUUGGACAAUGGAAACCUGAUCCAGCCAUCCGCGUGCGAUGAAGGCCUUCUGGGUUGUAUAAACGCUUUUGGCAGGAAAGAAACGGCGCAUGGAUAACACCCGUGCAACUGACGGUACCUGCAGAAUAAGCACCGGCCCCCAACUACGUACAGCAGCCGCGGUAACACGUAGGGUGCAAGCGUUAAUCGGAAUUACUGGGCGUAAAAGCGUGCGGGCGGUUCGGAAGAAAGAUGUGAAAUCCCAGAGCUUAACUUUGGAACUGCAUUUUUAACUACCGAUAGAGUGUGUCAGAGGGAGGAGUGGAAUUCCGCCGUGUAGCAGUGAAAUGCGUAGAUAUGCGGAGGAACACCGAUGGCGAAGGCAGCCUCCUGGGAUAACACUGACGCGCUCAUGCACGAAAGCGUGGGAGCAAACAGGAUUAGAUGCCCUGGUAGUCCACGCCCUAAACGAUGUCAACUAGCUGUUGGGGCCUUCGGGCUUGGUAGCGCAACUAACGCACGAAGUUGACCACCGCAAGUACGGUCGCAAGAUUAAAACUCAAAGGAAUUGACGGGGACCCGCACAAGCAGUGGAUGAUGUAUAGGAUAAUUCGAUGCAACGCGAAAAACCUUACCUACCCUUGACAUGUCUGGAAUCCCGAAGGGAAUUUGGGAGUGCUCGCAAAGGGAACCGGAACACAGGUGCUGCAUGGCUGUCGUCAGCUCGUGUCGUGAGAUGUUUGGGUUAAGUCCCGCAACGAGCGCAACCCUUGUCAUUAGUUGCUACGAAGGGCACUCUAAUGCGUGGACGCUGCCGGUGACGACAAACGGAGAAGGUGAGGAUGGCGUCAAGUCCUCGCCAGCCCUUAUGGGUAGGGCUUCACGUCAUACAAUGGUCGGGACAGAGGUCGCCAACCCCGCGAGGGAGCCAAUCCCAGAAACCCGAUCGUAGUCCGGAUCGCAGUCUGCAACUCGACUGCGUGAAGUCGGAAUCAUAUGUGUCGCGGAUCAGCAUGUCGCGGUGGAAUACGUUCCCGGGUCUUGUACCGCCCGUCACACCAUAGGAGUGGGUUUACCAGAAGUAGUUAGCUAACCGUAAGGAGGGCGGUUCUACGGUAAGUUCAUGACUGG